rnacentral:rRNA from 1 species
GUGCCAGCCGCCGCGGUAAGACGGAGGGUGCAAACGUUGUUCGGAAUCACUGGGCGUAAAGGGCGCGUAGGCGGACUUGUAAGUCGGGAGUGAAAACUCGGGGCUCAACCCCGAGCCUGCUUCUGAAACUGCGAGUCUUGAGGACCGGAGAGGAAAGUGGAAUUCCUAGUGUAGCGGUGGAAUGCGUAGAUAUUAGGAAGAACACCAGUGGCGAAGGCGACUUUCUGGACGGUUCCUGACGCUGAGGCGCGAAAGCUAGGGGAGCAAACAGGAUUAGAAACCCCCGUAGUCC